rnacentral:lncRNA from 1 species
ACCCCCCAAGCUGGCUCUUGGAGCCGCCUCGUGCUCCUGAGAUGGAAAAGUCCCAGAAAAUCAAUUAAGGCAGGAAGCCUCGCAAAUGCAGAAUCUCCGUGGUGCUGAUCAGUUCCACGAGGUCUCCUCCCUAAUUGGGACCCCUCAGAAUGAAUUUCCUCCUCCCUUCUAAGCGUGCAGAUGGCAUUGAUCCGAGCCGGAGCUCAUGGGUGAGCCACAGGAAACCGAUUCAUUUGGAUUAUUAUUUGAUGAGCAGAACAAGAUGCGCCCUGUGAGCGUGACUCACGGAGGCUGCAUCUUGCAUCUGGCAGAGGUGGGGGGGUGCAGUGGAGGCCGGGAAGGGCAACGAGCAUGGAGGGUGCAUGCCAGUCUGGGGCUGUGCACCAGGAAGUGUUUGGGGCCCAGUGAAGUUGGAACUCAUGUCCUCUGAUUCACAAGAGCAGCGCGCUAGUCCCCAAGCCAUGGGGGCAGGUGUGGGGCCUGGAACUGAUGCCAGCAUGGAGCUACCCCAGCUACCUCUGCCAGCUUCACCCAUCCAGACCCUCUCCACCGCCACUAGACCAGGCCUCAGAGAGUUGUCUUGGACCCGGAAGCAUGUAACCUGCAUCCCCUGGAGCUGGGAGAGGUGUGACGCUGCUCCACCACAGGUGUCCGACUUGCAUGUGAGCAUGUGCAGAACAGGUAAUUGGCCAUGCCCAGCCCCUCCCUGCAGCCCAGGGGUUACUUUUCUCAUGCCUGCAGAUGCUAGUUUGUAUAUGCCACUGGGAGUUGGCACUGGAGUCUCUCACAUUACUGAUGGCAGAGGAAUGAGCUGAGGAAUGUGUCCCUGUCCCAUGUCUCUCUGCAAGGUGCUUUUUCUGGUUUCCUC